ACCUUUGAGUGGGGAAGUAACAAGUCGGAAACGGAACUGCUAAUACCGCAUAAUGCAGCGGCAUCUAUGAUGACAGUUGUUAAAGAAGCAAUUCGCUUAAAGAGGAGCUUGCGGCAGAUUAGCUAGUUGGUAAGGUAACGGCUUACCAAGGCUACGAUCUGUAUCCGACCUGAGAGGGUGGUCGGACACACUGACACUGAAUAACGGGUCAG
rnacentral:rRNA from 1 species